CUCCGUCCCCGGGACCGUUCUACCACAGUCGGGCUUUGAGACAUCGAGCCCACUGGGACGCGCUCGAAGGCACCACGGCAGCUGAGAGCAGCCAGCCAGCACACAGCGAGGAUCCGGUGCCACAGGUCAUCGGAGCGGGGCCGGCCGAGCUGUCCUGGUGGCUCGCGGUCGGCCUGCGAGCACCCUGACAUCGUGAACGAUAGCCGAGCAGGCGAUAAUCAAGACAAGAAGCAAACGAUCAUCAGUGAGUUGGUGACAGUCUCCGCCAGUCGGCCACCGAUCGCCACCGUCACCAAUCUUCGCGGGAAGUUGGCAGGGACAGAGCUAAAAGCACUGGACCAGCCGCUGGGUCAUCCACUGGGUCACCCACUGGGUCAGUCGCUGGGGCUGCCCUGGGUCACCCACUGGGUCAGUCGCUGGGGCUGCUCUGACGGCCGGGCGACGGACGCAUCCUGCGACUGAAGUCCGAGAGGAGCCCGUUCAGCGACUGCGAGGAUCCAGCCUGGAGACUGAAAGGACUGGGGCGCUGGGGACUUACUCUGCGAGAGGACUGAACGGACGCUCCUUCACUUUCAGUGCCUUCUUGGCCUUGGCUUAUGUAGUACCAAGCAUAGAUGUGUAUCCUAAGUGCCGCGUUGGUAAGACCAAUCAUAUGGGCUACUGUUGAGGACCGUGCUUUGCACUCCAGUGUUUUAACUUCUAGGAAGUUGAUGGGUCCUUAUGCCUGAGGAGAUUAGAACACAGAGUGCCUUAUCUAAUAUGUUUAGAAAUACUCGCAACGUUUGAUGUAAAUAAAUAAGCAUGUUCGUCUACAAUGACUCGAGUCUGGUCUGCUGUACAUACAGCUCUAUAGUUGACCCGGAUAUUUGCAGUGUUGAAAGGUCUGAAAGUGCUCACUGUUUAUAUGACGUGCAAAUGUGUUAUGUCAUUAACUACGCCCGCUGCAUACAUGUGUACAAUACAGCGGCGUACCGAUCGGCUCAUCGGA